rnacentral:rRNA from 1 species
GACUCCACGAAGUUGGAUUCGCUAGUAAUCGCGCAUCAGCCACGGCGCGGUGAAUACGUUCCCGGGCCUUGUACACACCGCCCGUCAAGCCAUGGGAGCCGGGAGUGCCUGAAGUACGUGACCGCAAGGAGCGUCCUAGGGUAAGACCGGUGACUGGGGCUAAGUCGUAACAAGGUACC